rnacentral:rRNA from 1 species
GGGUCAGUAGGUUGGUCGUGCCACCGGUACGUACUGGUCUCACUGAUUCCUCCUUCCUGAAGAACUGUAAUGCCAUUAAUUUGGUGUUGCGGGGAAACAGGACUGUUACUUUGAAAAAUUAGAGUGUUUAAAGCAAGCUAACGCUUGAAUACAUUAGCAUGGAAUAAUGAAAUAGGACGAUCGAUCCUAUUUUGUUGGUUUCUAGGAUUGACGUA